rnacentral:rRNA from 1 species
UAUUCGGAAUCACUGGGCUUAAAGAGCACGUAGCCGGACAGUCAAGCGUCUUGUGAGAUCCCUCGGCUUAACCGAGGAACUGCUUGGCGAACUGGCUGUCUUGAGGCAAGUAAGGGCGCGUGGAACUCUUGGUGGACCGGUGGAAUGCGUAGAUAUCAAGAGGAACGCCGGAGGUGAAGACGGCGCGCUGGGCUUGUCCUGACGCUGAGGUGCGAAAGCCAGGGGAGCGAACGGGAUUAGAUACCCCGGUAGUCCUGGCCCUAAACGAUGUCCACUAGGUCGAUGGUUCUCUGACGGAUUGUCGGCCGAAACCAAAGCGUUAAGUGGACCGCCUGGGGAGUACGGUCGCAAGGCUAAAACUCAAAGGAAUUGACGGGGACUCACACAAGCGGUGGAGCAUGUUGCUUAAUUCGAUGCAACGCGAAGAACCUUAUCCUGGGCUUGACAUGUAUGGAUGCCUACCUGGAAACAGGAUCGGUUGCCCUUCGGGGUGAAACUUACACAGGUGCUGCAUGGCUGUCGUCAGCUCGUGUCGUGAGAUGUUGGGUUAAGUCCCGUAACGAGCGAAACCCUUGUCGCUAGUUGCCAGCGGGUAAUGCCGGGGACUCUAGCGAGACUGCCGGUGUCAAACCGGAGGAAGGUGGGGAUGACGUCAAGUCCUCAUGGCCUUUAUGCCCAGGGCUGCAAACGUGCUACAAUGGCCGAGACAAAACGACGCAAGACCGCGAGGUGGAGCUAAUCGGAAAAAAUCGGCCUCAGUUCGGAUUGGAGUCUGCAACUCGACUCCAUGAAGUUGGAAUCGCUAGUAAUCGCGUAUCAGCCACGACGCGGUGAAUGUGUUCCUGAGUCUUGUACACACCGCCCGUCAAGUCAUGGAAGCCGGGAGCGCCCGAAGUCGCCACGAUUCAGUGGUGCCGAAGGUGAGCUCGGUAACUGGACUAAGUC